GGCAAAUAAACUGUAUUUGAAGUGAAUAAAUGACAAUACCAUAGAUUAUUUCAAAGAAAGGAUAUGGAGAUACAAUGGGGGGAAAAAAUCCGUUACCCUCCAAGGCUUUGUCCAGAACAGUCUGCUAAAAUAAUAAAAAAAAAAAAUCAUCAAUUAUAUGAAAAUAUGCAGAGCAAAUAAAUUGAUUCUGAAGUGAAAAUAAUUCACAAUAACUUGGACUGUUUCAGAGAAGGAGACGGAGAGAUAGGGAGAAACAUACAAAUAUCCUCCAAGGCUUCCACCAAAACAAAAACCAAUUGUUCAUCCGAGAAUAACCAUAAACAUAAAUUAAAUGGGGAAAAACUUUUGAGACAAAAACAGGGUGAAAGAGAACUAAGAAAUGCUACAUAUAUCUUAAGAAUCAUGCAGGAGUUAAAGAGAAUUGGAAAAUGCUACAGAUAUCUUACGGGGUUUUUUGUUGAAGAACUUUUGAAUAUAUUAUCUUGAGGCUCGGUUUUUGUUGAAGAAUGAUUCUACUCCCAGACUUGUAAGAAUGAUCAUAUUGUAAAAAAAAAAAAAAAAAAAAAAAAACCACAUUCUGAAAGAACAAAAAUCUCAAAUUAAAAAGAAGCCCAUUGCAAGAAUAGGGAAAAUUUAUGAACAAACCUAAAACAAAAUGAGAACCUUUUCAAAAUCCAGUAGAGUGAAUAUGUCUUGGUCUUGAGACGCACAACUAAAAGUCACAAUUUUCUAAAAUAAGCAACAAAAUCAUAUCAUAAUUUAGUCAAUGAAAAUUGAAGCAAACAUGGAGGGCUGGGUAACAAAUAGCUCGUAAAUGUGACGAUGGAAUGCAGUGGUUCGAAACGGUGUUUUUUUUUUGAAAAAACGAUGUUGAAAUUUAGGGGAGAUGAAACGGUGUGUUCCUUAUUUUUUAUUUUUUGAUAAAGUGGGAGAAGUUUUCAAAAUGUGGAAGUUUUCUAAUAGGAAAUGAAUUUUAAUAUCGUGUGGAGAUUUUAUUUUAAAAAACUGCCAAAUGCUAAUAAAACUGACCAACUAAAAUAACAAAAACGUCAUUAAGAAAUCACGAUAUUACAAAAACGGCCCUAGGGUUUGAAACCUAAAGUGCCACGUGUCAACAUUUCUAGUACUUCACCCGUGCGAUGCACAGGCACGGGGUCGGUUUCAAAGCGAAAGUUUUUUAUUAAUUGAAAAAAAAAUAAACAUAUGUAACAUACCGAAUUUAAGUAAAAGGGAAUUUAAUCAAGUUCAUACAAUUUUUGUUUGAAAAAAAUUGAAAAUAUGAUGGAUUCUUUAAUCAAUUUAGGUAUAACUUUUUAGCGUCAUCCGACUUGAUGUAAGUUGAACCAGUUAAUAUAAAAAUAAAAAUUGUAUUGAGAACGAUUUUAACAAUAGAGUUAUAUCAGGUGUUGAACAUUUAUAUAUUAAUCUUAAUAAAAUUAAAUCGUGAGGAGUUAAAAUGUUAUGAUUCAUAAGACUUUUAAUUAUUGCAUCAACAUAAACACUAAUUACCAUACUUUCAACCAAUAUUGCAUCCCGAGAAUGAAUAAAGUCAUAAAAAUACCAUUCUUAAAUAUAAUAUAAGAAGCAAUAAACUUGUAGUUAAGAUACCAUUCUUAAAAAUUUAAACACACCGUAAAUCAACUUGUUCCUUGGUAACAAUAUUCAGUGCCACAGACUUUUCUUCCACUCUUGUAUAUUCUUAAAAGAGCCCACAUAUUCAACCCGUAACUGAAAUGAGCUCAAUAAUAAUAGAACUGAAACUAAUUUUUAAAUUAUGUAAAAAAGUUUUAGUAAAAUGCAUUAACGAUAUUGCUUAUAUCAAACACAAACACACAGACAAACUGUAUGUAAAAGCUUUGUUUUAGAGUAUUAUUAUUAAAAUUUAAAUUAUUAGAAAGGCAGACUCAUAAAAAUGUUAAAUGCUGGAACAUUCAAGAAAAUCUUGAAAAGUUAUAUAUACUAUGUCGAAUUAUCAUUCUUUCUGGCAGACGAUGAUGAAAGAACAAAAAGGGAUCAAGACAAAUUAUCCAACUGAAAACACACCCCGUUCAAAUUUCUUAACAUCAUCAAUUCGAACAUUACUAUCUAACUGCUACUAAUAUAAAAUUUAUACCAUUUGUAAACCUUAACUAUUAUUUAUAUGUUACAAAUUUCCCCGAGAAUCAAAAUACACACAAACUUAUACUAUUGCAAUUUACUUCUAAAACAAUGCCUUCUUAAUUGUCAAUUUAAAUUAUUAUUUCUUGAGUAACCGUCGUAAUCUCUAGUUAAAACUUUUGUUGUGUAUCUAAGAAUAUUGAACUGCUUUUGAAAUACUAACUAAAUGAUACUAAAUAAAAAAAUUCUAGAAUUGCUCAUUUUGAAACUACAACACAAAGAUUAUAACAUUUUUCCUUAGAAGAAAAAAGAAAAGGAGAAGAAAAGAACCUGAACAUAUUUAAGGGAACAACAGCGUGAAGUUGAUCAAUCAUCUUUUAAUAAGUGAGCAAUGAACCCAUGACGAAGAGCAUCAUGGCUGCUAUUUCCGCUGUGAAAAUUGGACGGCAGCCUCAACCACCAAAUUAGAAUUUGAAACUUAAGCUUCCUGACGCUCCCGGAUUUCAACCCAAAACAUAAUCCUUAGUCAAAUUGGAAAGAAUUUUUAAAAGUAAAUUUCAUAGGUACACGAAACAAAAACUAAAUAUAAUCAUCAUAAAACAUAAUCAUAAAAAUCUUUACAGAAACAAACAAAACUUUCAGAAGUCUAACACCAAAUUGAAUAGAAUUAAUUGAAUAGAAUUUGACAAAUUCUUGAUGGUAGAAUAAAAAUGGAGACAAAAUAUUGAGAGUAUAUAAGAAGAAAGAAGAAUUGUUAUCAUAUACAACGUGUAAAAAAAAAUCUUUCUUUUUGUUUUUUCAUUGUUAUCAUAUACAACCGGCUAAUGACAGAGUAAGUCCAACAUUGGAAGCUUACGUACCUAAGUCAGGAAAAAGGAUUCGACGGGUCUAUAUAUACAGACAAUUUAAAUAUUCCAAUUCAUUAUUCGAAGUGUCAAUAUGAAUCCUUUUCAUGUGUUUCAAUCUCGUCAUGUACAUCUGCCAAGAAAUUAAAAGGGAAAAAAAAUUAUAAGGGUUGGUUAAUGUCUUGUCAAACUACAUGAAUUUAUUAAUUUUUUGGAAAUAUUCAACAAUUAAUCAAGUUUCAUAAACAUUUGAAAAGAAGAACUGCAAAUUAACAACUUCUUGAAAACUACUUAUAAAAGAGUCCAUUGAUACGUCACGAAUGAGAACUAUUACCAAUGAAAUCAAAUUAAAAGGAAAUCUUUUGAAUGUUUCCAUGGAGCAAUAAAAUCAAGAAUAUGAAGACAAAAAAUAGUAAGAAUAGAGAGAAUAUUGUUUUGCAAGAGAAGUUUUUGACAGAUAAAGUGCAAGUAAUGGCUCGAAACUUACCAAACUUUAUGGAUUAAAAGAUUUAUGGGUGACACUUCAAUUUUCGGCUCAUCAAUAUUUUUUGGAAGAUUUCUGUGUGCGAUUCUUUGCAGAACGAAAUACUAAAUUAUUGAUAUGCAAUUUGAAU
rnacentral:lncRNA from 1 species